UACGUAGGGGGCAAGCGUUGUCCGGAAUUAUUGGGCGUAAAGAGCGUGUAGGCGGUCCGGUAAGUCGGCUGUGAAAGCCCGGGGCUCAACCCCGGGAGGCGGAUGGAUACUGUCAGGCUCGAGUCCGGAAGAGGCAAGUGGAAUUCCCGGUGUAGCGGUGAAAUGCGCAGAUAUCGGGAGGAACACCAAUGGCGAAGGCAGCUUGCUGGGACGGUACUGACGCUGAGACGCGAAAGCGUGGGGAGCAAACAGGG
rnacentral:rRNA from 1 species